rnacentral:pre_miRNA from 8 species
ACGCCUUGCUGUGGCUGGUCAAAUGGAACCAAGUCAGGUGUUUCUGCGAGGUUUGGUCCCCUUCAACCAGCUACUGCGUCGUGAAU